UCAACGGAUAAAAGGUACUCCGGGGAUAACAGGCUGAUACCGCCCAAGAGUUCAUAUCGACGGCGGUGUUUGGCACCUCGAUGUCGGCUCAUCACAUCCUGGGGCUGAAGUAGGUCCCAAGGGUAUGGCUGUUCGCCAUUUAAAGUGGUACGCGAGCUGGGUUUAGAACGUCGUGAGACAGUUCGGUCCCUAUCUGCCGUGGGCGCUGGAGAACUGAGGGGGGCUGCUCCUAGUACGAGAGGACCGGAGUGGACGCAUCACUGGUGUUCGGGUUGUCAUGCCAAUGGCACUGCCCGGUAGCUAAAUGCGGAAGAGAUAAGUGCUGAAAGCAUCUAAGCACGAAACUUGCCCCGAGAUGAGUUCUCCCUGAGACUUAGAGUCUCCUGAAGGAACGUUGAAGACGACGACGUUGAUA
rnacentral:rRNA from 1 species